AAGAGCGAUUGUUGCUGAAUCCUUUGAGGUUCUACUAGAUGAAACGGACCAUUAUGAUUAUUUUUCAACACCCCGUGCGCUUCUCUCGAUACACUCCCCAUUCGCAUUAAUUGAUCCAAAUUUUGACGGAGUUGCUCUUGUGCCAAAUAGGGAAUAUAAAAUACACGUCAAGUUGGAAGAAGAUCAUAAGCUGAAGCUUCCGUACAAAACAGAUUGCCGGGACUAUGAAAAAGAAUGGAU